rnacentral:rRNA from 1 species
UUAAGCGACUAAGCGUACACGGUGGAUGCCCUGGCAGUCAGAGGCGAUGAAGGACGUGCUAAUCUGCGAAAAGCGCCGGCGAGGUGAUAUGAACCUUUGACCCGGCGAUGUCCGAAUGGGGAAACCCAGUGUGUUCCGACACACUAUCGUUAACUGAAUACAUAGGUUAACGAGGCGAACCGGGGGAACUGAAACAUCUAAGUACCCCGAGGAAAAGAAAUCAACCGAGAUUCCCCCAGUAGCGGCGAGCGAACGGGGAGCAGCCCAGAGUCUGAAUCAGCUUGUGUGUUAGUGGAAGCGUCUGGAAAGUCGCACGGUACAGGGUGACAGUCCCGUACACGAAAGCACACAGGUUGUGAACUCGAAGAGUAGGGCGGGACACGUGGUAUCCUGUCUGAAUAUGGGGGGACCAUCCUCCAAGGCUAAAUACUCCUGACUGACCGAUAGUGAACCAGUACCGUGAGGGAAAGGCGAAAAGAACCCCGGCGAGGGGAGUGAAAAAGAACCUGAAACCGUGUACGUACAAGCAGUGGGAGCACCUUCGUGGUGUGACUGCGUACCUUUUGUAUAAUGGGUCAGCGACUUAUAUUCUGUAGCAAGGUUAACCGUAUAGGGGAGCCGAAGGGAAACCGAGUCUUAACUGGGCGUUAAGUUGCAGGGUAUAGACCCGAAACCCGGUGAUCUAGCCAUGGGCAGGUUGAAGGUUGGGUAACACUAACUGGAGGACCGAACCGACUAAUGUUGAAAAAUUAGCGGAUGACUUGUGGCUGGGGGUGAAAGGCCAAUCAAACCGGGAGAUAGCUGGUUCUCCCCGAAAGCUAUUUAGGUAGCGCCUCGUGAACUCAUCUUCGGGGGUAGAGCACUGUUUCGGCUAGGGGGCCAUCCCGGCUUACCAACCCGAUGCAAACUACGAAUACCGAAGAAUGUUAUCACGGGAGACACACGGCGGGUGCUAACGUCCGUCGUGAAGAGGGAAACAACCCAGACCGCCAGCUAAGGUCCCAAAGUCAUGGUUAAGUGGGAAACGAUGUGGGAAGGCACAGACAGCCAGGAUGUUGGCUUAGAAGCAGCCAUCAUUUAAAGAAAGCGUAAUAGCUCACUGGUCGAGUCGGCCUGCGCGGAAGAUGUAACGGGGCUAAACCAUGCACCGAAGCUGCGGCAGCGACGCUUAUGCGUUGUUGGGUAGGGGAGCGUUCUGUAAGCCGUUGAAGGUGGCCUGUGAGGGUUGCUGGAGGUAUCAGAAGUGCGAAUGCUGACAUAAGUAACGAUAAAGCGGGUGAAAAGCCCGCUCGCCGGAAGACCAAGGGUUCCUGUCCAACGUUAAUCGGGGCAGGGUGAGUCGACCCCUAAGGCGAGGCCGAAAGGCGUAGUCGAUGGGAAACAGGUUAAUAUUCCUGUACUUGGUGUUACUGCGAAGGGGGGACGGAGAAGGCUAUGUUAGCCGGGCGACGGUUGUCCCGGUUUAAGCAUGUAGGCGGAGGUUCCAGGUAAAUCCGGUACCUUUUAACGCUGAGGUGUGAUGACGAGGCACUACGGUGCUGAAGUAACAAAUGCCCUGCUUCCAGGAAAAGCCUCUAAGCAUCAGGUAACAUCAAAUCGUACCCCAAACCGACACAGGUGGUCAGGUAGAGAAUACCAAGGCGCUUGAGAGAACUCGGGUGAAGGAACUAGGCAAAAUGGUGCCGUAACUUCGGGAGAAGGCACGCUGAUAUGUAGGUGAAGCCCCUGCGGGUGGAGCUGAAAUCAGUCGAAGAUACCAGCUGGCUGCAACUGUUUAUUAAAAACACAGCACUGUGCAAACACGAAAGUGGACGUAUACGGUGUGACGCCUGCCCGGUGCCGGAAGGUUAAUUGAUGGGGUUAGCGGCAACGCGAAGCUCUUGAUCGAAGCCCCGGUAAACGGCGGCCGUAACUAUAACGGUCCUAAGGUAGCGAAAUUCCUUGUCGGGUAAGUUCCGACCUGCACGAAUGGCGUAAUGAUGGCCAGGCUGUCUCCACCCGAGACUCAGUGAAAUUGAACUCGCUGUGAAGAUGCAGUGUACCCGCGGCAAGACGGAAAGACCCCGUGAACCUUUACUAUAGCUUGACACUGAACACUGGUCCUUGAUGUGUAGGAUAGGUGGGAGGCUUUGAAGUGUGGACGCCAGUCUGCAUGGAGCCGUCCUUGAAAUACCACCCUUUAAUGGCUGGUGUUCUAACGUAGACCCGUAAUCCGGGUUGCGGACAGUGUCUGGUGGGUAGUUUGACUGGGGCGGUCUCCUCCCAAAGAGUAACGGAGGAGCACGAAGGUUAGCUAAUCCUGGUCGGACAUCAGGAGGUUAGUGCAAUGGCAUAAGCUAGCUUGACUGCGAGAGUGACGGCUCGAGCAGGUGCGAAAGCAGGUCAUAGUGAUCCGGUGGUUCUGAAUGGAAGGGCCAUCGCUCAACGGAUAAAAGGUACUCCGGGGAUAACAGGCUGAUACCGCCCAAGAGUUCAUAUCGACGGCGGUGUUUGGCACCUCGAUGUCGGCUCAUCACAUCCUGGGGCUGAAGUAGGUCCCAAGGGUAUGGCUGUUCGCCAUUUAAAGUGGUACGCGAGCUGGGUUUAGAACGUCGUGAGACAGUUCGGUCCCUAUCUGCCGUGGGCGCUGGAGAAUUGAGGGGGGCUGCUCCUAGUACGAGAGGACCGGAGUGGACGCAUCACUGGUGUUCGGGUUGUCAUGCCAAUGGCACUGCCCGGUAGCUAAAUGCGGAAAAGAUAAGUGCUGAAAGCAUCUAAGCACGAAACUUGCCCCGAGAUGAGUUCUCCCUGAGACUUUAAGUCUCCUGAAGGAACGUUGAAGACGACGACGUUGAUAGGUCGGGUGUGUAAGCGCAGCGAUGCGUUGAGCUAACCGAUACUAAUGAACCGUGAGGCUUAACCUU